rnacentral:rRNA from 1 species
UACGUAGGUGGCAAGAGUUGUCCGGAUUUACUGGGCGUAAAGGAUGCGUAGGCGGACUUUUAAGUGGGAUGUGAAAUUCCGAGGCUCAACCUCGGCGCUGCAUUCCAAACUGGAAGUCUAGAGUGCGGGAGAGGAAAGUGGAAUUCCUAGUGUAGCGGUGAAAUGCGUAGAGAUUAGGAAGAACACCAGUGGCGGAGGCGACUAUCUGGACCGUAACUGACGCUGAUGCAUGCAAGCGUGGGGAGCAAACACG